AGGUGAUCUGCCUGCCUCAGCCUCCCAAAGCGCUAGAAUUACAGGCAUGAGUCACCGCGCCUGGCCAGAUCUGGUUUUUAUUAACAUGCUGGAUAGUCUUUCACUGACUGAAAAUAUUCCAUGUUUUAUUCAUCCAUUCUGUGAGUACUGGACAUUUGAGUUUAUUCCAAUAUUUUGCUGUUAAAAUGGUGCACAUGAGGACUCUUCAUGCGUAUGUCUCUAGUGUAACCUUGAACCUCUCCCCAGAGGGGUAGAAUCAUUCAGUCACACGGGCGUCACAUCUUCAGUUAGUGUGGACAUUUUGAGUUACUGGACUGGUCUCUCUCUCUCUUUCUCUGUCUCUGUAUGUGUGUAUGUAUUGUAUAUGUUUUUACGUUAUAUUUUUUCAAGAACUAUUUCAAAAUGAGGAUUCCUCUGUAUCACUGGUGGUUUUAAAAACAUCGUUGUUGCAUAUGGAAUAUCAUUCCAUUAUAUGAUUGCAGCAAACCAUUAACUGCACGGUCCAGCGUUGCUCGGGAGCGUCACUGAGCUGUCCUGUAUCAUGGACCCCGUGACUACCUUUACAUUCCCGGAAAUCUGUGGCAUCUGGGGAUUCAGGCUGACCAGGUUUGCCUCUUACAAACUGGGUGACCUUAACAAGUUCCCUUACUUCUAGGAGCCUCCAAAUUUCCACCUGGACCAGGGGACCAUAAUAAUAUAGUCAGCUCCUAGGGUUGGGAGGAUUACCAAAUGCAGGCGUAUCAACAGCCAUCAACACUGUUGAUGGUAAUUAGGGUUAUGACUGAGAACUGUUGAGGAUUAAGUUUGCGCUUCCGGACUAGUUUUCUCCUGGAAGCCUUGGAGCUGCAGGCAUUCUGUUCAGGGAUGUACACAGAGUCUGGUCCAAAGCUUUUAAACUACGAAGUGCUCUGUCAUCUCCUGGAGGGUCUCAUCAAAAUGGAGACUGGGAUCAGUAGGUCUGGGUGGGGCCGGAGAUCCUGCGUUUUGAGAUCCUCUACCUCCAGGCACGGCUCACCUGACGCUGCUGGUCUGAGUAUCAAGGCUUUGCAGCAUCUUCCCCAGGGCCCUGUCUCUUCCCACAGGCAGCACAUGCGUGGGGAGUCAGUUCGUUUUUGCAAUUAAGGAUAAGUGGGAAAAAGACCUUCUAGCUUAAUAAGGUAUGUCGUCUUGCCCUGAGAUACUAAUAAAUAUUUUCCCUUACUCUGGACCCAGCAUUAUGGUCUGAAUAUUUGUGUCCUCCCCAAAUUGCUAUGUUGAAACCUAACCCCCAGUGUGAUGGUGUUAAGAGGUGGGGCCUUUGGAAGGUGAGUGGGUCUUGAGGUAGAGGGCUUUACAAGGUACCCCAGAGACCUCGCCGCUUCUGUCUCUCUACCAUGUGAGGGUACAGUGAGAAGUUGAAAGCCUGCAACUCUGAGGAGGGCUCUUCCCGGAACCCGGCCAUGCUGGCACCCAGUCUCUUCAGCUGUGAGAAAUAAAAGUCUAUUGUUUAUGAGCCACCCCGCUCACGGCAUUUUGUUGCAGCAGGCCAGGCUGAGUCAGACACCCAGAAAACAGUUUCAUAUUAUCUAAUGACCUGAAGGCUUUUUGACCACUUAUUAAAAACAAAGGAGUAAAUCUCUCUUAGGAAUCUUGGAUAACAGAUGAAGACUGUGCUAACUGGACAUGACAACAUCAUAUAAAAAGCAAGACAUUCGGUCAGCUAGAGAAUCAACCUCUUGUCUAUGCAUGCUGGAGGCGGGGAAGGGCAAAUCACCCGAAGAUCCAGGUGGCCGGAAGACCCUGGGCAGAGCUCUGGCCCCGCCCUAGUGGCCGUCCUCCCACCUGCCCUGCUCCUGCUGGACCCUGUCCCUGAGCUGUUUCUCUUGGUUGUCAACAGCGCACACACAGAGCAGAGGACAGUGCUGCCUGGGGAUGGGCACGGCCCCUAUGCCACCUGCAGGUUCCCUUCCUCUGAGGCUCCCCACCCGUGGGUGGUCUCCCCUCCUCCUGAUUCACUAAGCCUUUGCCUGAUCACCUCCUAACACUGCCAGCAGCUCCCAAGCUGUAGACCCACAAUUCCCCCAAAGUUGGCUGUGGUACUGCUGGACUCCUUAGCCCUAGGAAUCCAUCCCUCACUGUCCAUGGCUGGCCCUUCACUACCCCCACCACGCUCUCCAGAGCUCCACAGUUCUUCCAGCCUGCCAGCCCUCCAACCUCUGCCUUCUGAGCUGCCCCCAACGCCUGGACCCCGGCCGACUAUGGUUUCUUAUUCAAGAAGUUCCUAUUCUUGUCCUAUGCCCAGAUGGCCCUCAAUCAAUGUUUGCCUGGGGAGUGAGCCAGAUGAGCACUAAUGACUCUGAAAUCUGUAUUGUUAUAUCUGACCUCUUUGGCUCUGUGAAAUUGAAGAAUUCAAACUUAAAGCUGUUGGACUUUUAAAUUGUUCUGAGCCUUGAGAGGAAUGUGGCUAUGCAGCCCGAGUCACACGGCUGCAACUUCUACCUUUUUUCCCCUUUAAAUAAUAAAGACCAAGACCAAGUAGCCCUCAAGUCACUGCCCCUCCUCAAGCAGCAGUCUGUAACCAAUCAAUUCCCGCACCCUGUAUGUUUGUCUUGUAUGGAAAAUGUUGUUCCUGCUAAGAUUUCCCUGCCUCUGUUUAGGUAAGUGAAACCUUAACUUCACUUUGGGACACUGACCUCAUUCGUUCGAAGUUGGGGUCUCCCGGGUGGCCAUCUGCAAGCUUUGUGUUCAAAUAAGCUAUAGUUAAUCAUAUUUUCUGAACCUCAUUAUUUGAGGUUGACAGCUUAUGUGCUAGUUGGCAUCGCUGGGAUGUGCCACGAGCAAGCAAGCCAGCCCCAACGCAUCCAAAAGUGAUAUCAUUGUCUUCUUCCUUAAUCGGUAUGAGUCCAGGGUCCCCAUCGCCCAACUGCCCACCCUGCAAAUCUGGAAUUGUAACUGCCUCUCUCCUGACUGAGUAAGAAUUGCCCCUUUUCAAUCACAUUCCAUGUCCCACCAAUUUAUUUCCACUCAGUUCCUUUCCCUAGGACUCAGCAAUGGGGUCCAGGCAAGAAUAGUCUGGUGGAUGCUGGUUCCCAGGUGCUUGGUCCAUGGGGCCAAGACCAGGGCGGGAGUUUCUCUGUUUCAGCCACAGGGCCUCAAGGAAGAGCCGGUACCAGAUGCGCACCCUGUUCCAAGCCUCUUUGUGCUGCCGUGUAGGGAGAGGGUGGAGGCUAAAGUGACUCUGUCUCAGGAGCGGAUCUGCCAUGUUGACUUCUGAUGAACUCUAAUUCUGAGAACGCCUCUAAGAUUUCCAGUUUACCUAUCGUUCCUUGUAUUAGCGCAUGUGUACUUACCGUAAACGCUGCCCUUAGGCCCAAACGACCUUAAUGUUAUCAUGGAAGUUACUGGCUAUGACGUACACAGCAUUCUUGUCUUUUCCUGGAAGGUCACCGUGAUAGUGCCUGUAAGCCCUUUUCCUUUACUACAGAAGCCGAGGCCUGGGGGGUGGUGACAGCGUGGAGAUCCACCUGUGUUGCGGCUGCCCAAGACCACGCUUCUGUCCAUAAGUUCCCCAGUAAAUCCUCCUCUCCCGGCAAACUGGAUUUGCCUGUCUGUACUUCGGUUUCCGGGCUCCUUCUGCAUUUGGCGUCAGUCUGUGUAUAUGGCCCUUUCUCGAAACAUUCCCCAUCCUCACUGGAAGCUACCCCCUUUCUCCUAUUUUAUAUAAUUUCUUUUGGCUGAAAUAAGUAAGCCACAAACAAUGGGAAAUCUGUUUUUUGUUUUUUUUUUCCCCUGAAAUACACUGAAAUCCCUUGGUGGAUGCACACUGGGUAGAUAGAGGAGCAACAUCCUAUAGUCAGUAUUUGGGGCAGCAUUUCACCAUGUUCAGGGAACACACUUCCUCCAGUGGUGGGUCUGCCUCCCCAGCACGGUUAUGGAGUCACAGCUCCUCAGAGCAGCAAAGAUCGCGAGGGAGUCAAGGGAUGGAGCAGCCCCAGCUCCCUGCUGGGCUGGAGGAGGGUGGCGAGUUCUGCCCUUACGGAGACGCUAUGCACAACUGAUGAGGAAUUCUCAGCAUCAUUUGGGGCUCGUCCGGAAUGUGACUCAAGCAUACCCUUUCGAAAGCCUGGUGUUAUGGACUGCCUGUGCGUCCCCCCAAAAUGUAGACAGGCUGGGAUUUCUGAGCCCUCUGCAGGCUCAGGGGGAAGGGCAGAUUCUGGAGAAGAAGGCCCCAGCAGCAGGAGCAAUCCCAGCCGCAGAGCCAGACUCCUGUAGUCAGGCCUGGCCCACGUCCGGCCGAUCAGCGCAUGGCUGGAGGACCGCACAUCUGGCUGUGACGUUGGCUGCCUUCCUUUCGUUUCUACUUCAGCAACCCAGCCCCAGGAACAGCUGCAUGGGAGGUAAAUGGAAACUUUGUGGACAGAGUCCAGUGGUCACCCAGGGCUGGCGACGCUUCUGCCUUUAAGGUGUCCUGGGCACCCGAGCAGCUGUGGGCUACGGCUUAUACUUUCCCUGACUGCGAUGGCUUUAUGGGAUGUGAGACACAGGCCAUUCACCUUUUACCCCAGUCAUGCAGCUAAUCACCAGAGCAUUUCACCGCCUCAGCCGUGGCUGCAAAACACUGAGCCGAUUAUGGAAAGGGCAGAACACGAAUGCUCUUGUGGAAUUUUCAGUAGCGAUAAGCAUUUGCUGAGAUUGAGUGUGAUGUGAACUCAGCGCCCUCUCCAUCUUACUGUGUGACCUGAAGCCCAAUGACCCGGUCCCUGGGUGGACCCUGUCCCUGGUGGACCCUGCCCGUCGGUGGCCCCUUCCAGGCAGGCCAUUGGUCUUCGUGCACUCGGUCAGCUGUGGCUGGUACCUGUCCUCCUCAGGCCCCCUCUCAGCACACAAACCUGGUGUCAGUGGCUCCAAGGCCCAGGAGGAGCUCCAAAAGCCACACACUGAGAAGAUGUGUCAUGGCCAAGUCCCACAGGGAGGCUGUGGUGGACUCCGGGCUGCCAACAGGGCCUGGCCCUGCGUUCUGCCAGGGGCUCUCGGCAUGCCCCAUGGGACCCCCACGGAUGACCGUAGGACCUGACGGCCCCUCCAGGUUUCCAGAAGGAAGAAAACAGGAUCUUGGGUGUUGGCGGUGGGUCCCAGGAAUCUCCUCUCAGUGAAGCCAUCUCGUUCUUCCAAGGGCUCAGGUCCAAAGCCCGGAGCCUUUUGGCCUUCCUCUCCCCUCACUCCCCAUCAGCAUAUACAGCCAGGACUGGGCCUCUGCUCCCUCCUGCCUUCCCCACUCACCCAUGGGCCAAGCGUCCAGCUUCUCGCCUGGAUGACCUUGGGGCCUCCCUCCUGUCAGAUUACACCUGCUACACCCGAGUCACGUCAAGUCCCACCUGUGCUCAUGGUCCCCAGCCCUCCUUUUUGCCUUUUCCUGAUUGUUUUUCUCCAUUGCACUUGUUCGUAGCUGGCCUGGCUUAUAUUUCCUGGUUCAUUUGCAUUUUGAGUCUACCCCGCUGCACGGUGAAUAUGUGAGCAGUGUUUUGUUUGUUUUGUCAACAGCUAUAUCCUCAGUGCCUACAGGGUCCCCAGCAUGGAGCUCUGCUGAACAUGUUGAUGUAGCGACACAGCCAGAGCUCCAGGCAGAGACCCCGUGGGUGGUGGUGUGCGCUCGGUGGCACCUGUGAGGUCACCUACGAUGGCAGCCAUGCAGUCCAGACCGUGGGAGCUCCACGGCCCAGCCGUACACAGCGAGUAAUGGCAACCCUAGCUUCUUACCACCCGCCACGCACCUUUUAGAUUCAAGCAUGGGCUCGGGGUCCUUGGCCUCAAUAUUCUUAUCUAUUAAAUGGGAUAAUGACA